rnacentral:lncRNA from 1 species
UUCCUCAUCUUAUGACUAUUCGUCUUCCACCGUAAGAGCUACAGUGCUGUGACAGAGGCAUGUGACCUAGCCGCAGCCUGGACCGCAACAAUUAUACAAACUCCCAAUAUCCUUUUAACAAAUUCAUUGUCUGUUUAAUCAGCCAAAGUCUUCUUUUGUUGUUUGUAACCAAGAACACUGAGUAGUACAAACAAUAUCCAACGUGCUAGUGAAGACUUUGAAGGACGCCAUGACACUUCACAAGGAACCCGA